GGGCCGGUGGUCUAGCGGUAGUGACGCCGCGUUCGCAACGCGGAUGUCGGGGGUUCGAAUCCCCCCCGGUCCACCA
rnacentral:tRNA from 3 species